rnacentral:rRNA from 1 species
GAUGCGCGGAAGAUUACCGGGGCUAAAACCUGACACCGAAGCUUGGGGAUACGAGCAAUCGUAUCGGUAGAGGAGCAAUGUAUAAAGGCAGAAGUUGAAUCGGAAGAUUCAAUGGACGAAAUACAAGAGAGAAUGCCGGCAUAAGUAGCGAGAGAGAGGCGAGAAACCUCUCCGUCGAGAGUCUGAGGUUUCCUGGGGAAGGUUCGUCCGCCCAGGGUUAGUCGGGGCCUAAGUCGAGGUCGAAAGGCGUAGAUGAUGGACAACCGGUGCAAAUUCCGGUACUACCGAAAUUCGUAUAAAUGAUUGCAGUGACACAGGAAGAUAGUCGGACCGAGCGGAUGGAAAAGCUCGGCCAAGGCGUAACGAGGGCAUAGAGUGAAGUACCUAUGUAGGAAUCGGUGCGCUGAUGGGGACGUGAAGACAAGUAAAUAAGCCGACGAAUCUACACUGGCGAGAAAAGCUGCUAAAUAAGGAUGGAGGUACCCGUACCGCAAACCGACACAGGUAGACGCGAAGAAAAUUCAAAGACGAACGGGAGAACCCUUGUUAAGGAACUCGGCAAAAUGACCCCGUAACUUCGGGAGAAGGGGAGCCAACGCGAGUUGGUCGCAGUGAAGAGGUCCAAGCAACUGUUUACCAAAAACACAGGUCUCUGCGAAAUCGAAAGAUGACGUAUAGGGGCUGACGCCUGCCCAGUGCCGGAAGGUUAAGGGGAGAUGUGCAAGCAUUGAACUUAAGCCCCGGUGAACGGCGGCCGUAACUAUAACGGUCCUAAGGUAGCGAAAUUCCUUGUCGGGUAAGUUCCGACCCGCACGAAAGGCGUAAUGAUUUGGACGCUGUCUCAACAGGGGGCCCGGCGAAAUUGUAGUAUACGUGAAGAUGCGUAUUAACCCGCGACUGGACGGAAAGACCCCGUAGAGCUUUACUGUAACUUGAUAUUGGAACACGACAACGAAUGCACAGGAUAGGUGGGAGGCUGAGAAGUAAGUGCUUUGGCAUUUACGGAGCCGCUGUUGGGAUACCACCCUUUCAUUGUUGGGUUUCUAACGGACAGCCGUGAACCGGUGUACGGACAGUGUCAGGUGGGCAGUUUGACUGGGGCGGUCGCCUCCUAAAGAGUAACGGAGGCGCCCAAAGGUUCCCUCAGGAUGGUUGGAAAUCAUCCACAGAGUGUAAAGGCAGAAGGGAGCUUAACUGUGAGACAGGCAUGUCGAACAGAUGCGAAAGCAGGGCUUAGUGAUCCGGCGGUAGAGAAUGGAAUUGCCGUCGCUUAACGGAUAAAAGUUACCUCGGGGAUAACAGGCUGAUCUCCCCCAAGAGUUCA